GGAGUGGCUCCUUGGUAGAGCUCUUGCCUGGCAUGUCUGAGGUCCUGAGUUCAAUCCCCAGCACCA
rnacentral:tRNA from 1 species